CUGCCAGCUCCCCCACCCCACCCCCAUUUCGGACCUUUGCUUCUGUGUGUCUUCCGGAGGACACAGAUGGCAGGAGCAGGGAAUCGGAAGCACUUGGCAAUGAAGCAGCAAUUCAUUGCAAUCCCUUCGGUAUUCAUCGCAACAAUGCCUGCUCUGAUGGGCUCCGCGUCCUGAAUGCAGCUUUCAAUGUGCAAUCCGGCAGGAAUUACGGCUCUGUGUCGUCCUCAUCACGUCCACUUACUGUCAAGUGUUGCUGAGAAUUCUCCCACUCGGAGUGAGGGAACCACUUGUUUUCGCCACUGAUUUCCGAAACCUCCUCUGGGUUGGGGUGUCUGCGAAGCUCCUGGUGAUGUGUGAUUGUUCCUGGUUUGUGUUUUGGACACUAAUGCGCUCUGCUGAAGUAUGUAAAUUGCCAUAAUGUGAGGAAAUGAGAUAUAAAAAUAACUCUGGGGCAACAAACACUGGAGGAGCUCUGAGAUCGGUGUAGCUGUUCCUGGUUCCACUUUGAGGCCAGGUGGCAUCUCUGGGAGGCAGUGCUGGGGGAGAAGACCUGGGAUACCCUGGAUGGAUGAGCAGCUCCUGGAAUGGGCUGACUGAUGUCCACCCUUCUGCGCCUGGACUGCUUGAGAAGGGCCUCGAGAGCCCAUCCUCGUGCUGGGGAAGGAAAUGAGGGGCCGGAUAUUGACUGUCUCCUUUCACUGUCAUCCAUCAGCUUGGUCAGCUGGACCAGAGAGUCUGGCUGGUGCCCUUGUCAAAGACAGCUUGGACAAGCAGAUCUUCCUCCAUGGCCCAUCGAAGGAAUGGAUAAAGGACAACAAGGCACAAGGGAUUUUUUAAACUUCUUCAGAUUAUGGUACCCCUUACACAGAGUUUUGCGGUGAUUUUAGAGAGUUAAAAGUCUCCCC
rnacentral:lncRNA from 1 species